rnacentral:rRNA from 1 species
GAACUUAAGCAUAUCAAUAAGCGGAGGAAAAGAAACCAACAGGGAUUGCCCCAGUAACGGCGAGUGAAGCGGCAACAGCUCAAAUUUGAAAUCUGGCCUCUCCGGGUCCGAGUUGUAAUUUGUAGAGGAUGCUUUUGGUGAGGUGCCGCCCGAGUUCCCUGGAACGGGACGCCGCAGAGGGUGAGAGCCCCGUCUGGCUGGCCACCGAGCCUCUGUAAAGCUCCUUCGACGAGUCGAGUAGUUUGGGAAUGCUGCUCAAAAUGGGAGGUAUAUGUCUUCUAAAGCUAAAUAUUGGCCAGAGACCGAUAGCGCACAAGUAGAGUGAUCGAAAGAUGAAAAGCACCUUGAAAAGAGGGUUAAACAGUACGUGAAAUUGUUGAAAGGGAAGCGCUUGUGACCAGACUUGGGCGCGGCGGAUCAUCCGGGGUUCUCCCCGGUGCACUUCGCCGCGUCCAGGCCAGCAUCAGUUCGUCGCGGGGGAAAAAGGCUUCGGGAACGUGGCUCCUCCGGGAGUGUUAUAGCCCGUUGCAUAAUACCCUGCGGUGGACUGAGGACCGCGCAUCUGCAAGGAUGCUGGCGUAAUGGUCACCAGCGACCCGUCUUGAAACACGGACCAAGGAGUCGUCUUCGUAUGCGAGUGUUCGGGUGUCAAACCCCUACGCGUAAUGAAAGUGAACGCAGGUGAGAGCUUCGGCGCAUCAUCGACCGAUCCUGAUGUUCUCGGAUGGAUUUGAGUAAGAGCAUACGGGGCCGGACCCGAAA